rnacentral:misc_RNA from 1 species
UUAUCUCUACACUCUUUAGGGUGGCAUAUGCAUCUCAAUCCAACUCCACAAUUUCCAUUAGGUUUUUCGCAUUCGUUGCAGAUAACUGGGGCAUGAUUAGGAAUGUCAAAAGAUAUCCUUGUUCCCAACUUAUGUUCCUGGUAGGAAUCAUUGCUCGAAGAACUACUAUACACCUGGCUAUAUUGUGAGCAAUUCAAAUCUUUUGGAUGAAAACCCUUGUCAAGUUUUUCAAUAUCAUUAACAAGAAGACACGAAUAUGGGAUUUCAUGUUCUUGAG